rnacentral:tRNA from 1 species
GGGGAAUUAGCUCAGCUGGGAGAGCGCAUCGCUGGCAGCGAUGAGGUCAUCGGUUCGAUCCCGUUAUUCUCCACCA